GAGAGAGGAGAGGGGAGGGGAAAGUAGAGCGGUCUGUGAAUUCAUGCUGUGUUAGCAUCCCCUAAGCAACUCCAUCAAUACUGCAUACAGCUGAGAAACUGGCAAAGAGCCCUGGUGCUGCAUUGGAGGGCUACAGUAGCGAGAGAGAGAGAGAGAGAGAGAGAGAGAGAGAGAGGGUGAUAGAGAGAAAGGAGCUUACAGUGUGACCACUAACUGCUUCUUGCUGCUGUUCUGUUCUGUUCUGUUCUGUUCUGUUCUGUGCUGUGCUGUGCUGUGCUGUGGAGCUCUCUCACUGGGACUCAGCCCCUUGUGUGGAACAACUGCAUCCACUGCAGUCAGAGAGAAACAGAAGGAGCGAGGGAGAAGAGAGAAAGAAAAGGAGUGAGUAAGACUGGGAGAAACGAAGAGAGAGAGAGAGAGAGAGAAACAGAGAGAGAGAAAGAGAGAGAAAGAGACAACAGGAGCUGAGCACAGGAAGACACAGGUCGGGAGUACUCAGUGGGAAGAAGGCAGACCCACCGGGGGCAGGGAUUGUGUCUUGAGGGGGGAUCUGUGCUAGUAUGUUAGCGCACUCCGCAGGAUUGGCUAAACACCGGGGACUGUGACAGGACCUCAGUGCACCUGCUUCAGACAGGCUUUGGGCAAUGCGGAGCGACUGAUGCCUGCAAUGGCAGACCUGGACCUGCAGACCCUGAUACCACCCCUCCAGCACUCCAGCCACCACCACCACCACCACCACCCCCAAGCCCAGGGGCCCAACCUGAAGAUCUGACCCAGCCCUACCUCCUCCUUCCCUGGCCUUGCUUCAAACGGGCCUCCUGGCUUCACCCUGGGCCCACCAUGGGAGGAUGCCUCUCCAAACCCAAACCAGGUGACCCUCCAGCACCCCACACCCCCACGCCCCCCUUACCUCCAUUUAAACAAAAAAAUAACUUAACCUACCCCCUUUUCAAAUCCUGAAAUAAUUGGCACCCAGCUAUAUAUAGGUCACAGAAAUGGCUUGCCUGACAGCCCUCUACACAGCAUAGGCGUUUUUUGAGGAGGAGGAAUUUUA
ensembl:lncRNA